AUAUAUAUAUAUAUAUAUAUAUAUAUAUAUAUAUAUAUAUAUAUAUAUAUAGAAAGAGAUCGACAUUAACGUAUCUCUCGAAAACAAUCGUAACUUUAAAAUCGCGAUCUUAGAAAUUUGUCGAGAACGAAAAACGAUGACGAUACUUCGUCACGAAGCAAUGUGUCGAGAGCUGUGGCCCCUCCGAUCCAACCUACUCAGGCCCGUUCGCCAACAGCUUCGUCCUCCUCUUCCCCUUUUCCUUCUCUUCGCUACUCUACUCUGCUCUUUCUCUCCCUCCUUCCUUCCUUGACCACCUCGGUUGCCGCCGGCCGGCCCACCGAGCGGAUCCGAUCCCCUCCGUUGAGAAACCCUCCCCGGUCCUCUCGGCGGCCCCUCGCCGUCUCCGACAAGACCAAUCGUCUCGUCUUCUUUCUUCGACCACCGACUCUUCUCCUCUCUGUCUCUUUCUCUUUUUCUCUUUCUUUCUAACAACUUCAAAAUCUUCUCUAUGGUAUCGGCCAAACGUUUUACGGAUGAAUCAUCUCCUCUUUAACUUAAUAUGUAACAUGGUGAAUAUGAGAUCGAGUUACAUUCUUCAAAAUAUCUGAGCUACUAAAUACGUGAAAACAUUGAUCUUGUAUUCGACCGAUUACGUUUGUUUCUAAUCGUUUGUGUUUUGAAAAUAAUUCACAAUUUUUUAUUUGUAUUUUCUUUUCGUAACGUCGUCGACGUAAAAGUACUUUCUUCCUCUUUGUUUUCUUUCCAGAUAUAGUUUUUAAAUUAAGAAGUGAUCUCUAUCCAUUCAUAGAUGGCGCGUUCAGCAUUUUCUAUGUGUACACGGAGAAAGUUAUAGAGUCUUCCAUCUAGGUUGCUUUCCUUUGUAUGGCGCUCUUCUAUGAAUCAGUUCAGUAUGACUAAUGCCAAUCUCUAAACAACGGUACUAUUGCUUUUAUGACGCCUACUUAUAUCGAGCUUAUAUUCGACGAAUUAUCCUCCAAGUGUGGAUGUGACGAAGGAGUAAACAUUGUGUGCUUGUGAAGAUUCAUCAUUUCAGAAAUUUUCAUUCGAUAUGAAGCGUUGUAACGUAACCGAAAUAUUUGCAGAAGAGAAUUCUAUUAAUAAGAUAAUUCAUAAUAAUAAAAACAAUGUGUGAGUAUAAAAUUUGACUUAUUUUAAUUCGAACGAUAUAUGCGUGCAAUUGAAAAUGGAAUUAUUAAUUCGAAUGCGUAAUUAUUAAUUAUUAAGUAGCGAUUCGUCGAAUAAAGAAAAUAAUGAAGAAAAUUACAAUCGGAGGAAAUAUAUACUGCCAGUUGUAAUCGAUUGAUUAUUCCUAAAACGUAUUUCGUAAUAUAGGUUAUUUUGGUAAGUUAAUGAUACAGUAUUUGUCGAUUGACAUCAUUUUUAUUGAUUCCAGUCGUGAAUGGAAGCGUAUUUGCAGAGUUCUUAUGCAGAAAAACCUUUUGCACAGGAAAAUUCUUUAUUCUAAAGAAUACUAGAAACUGUAAAAUAUUAAUUUUUGAAAUAGUUAACCUAUAGGUUUUAUUCGUCAUAUUUCCUGUGGAAUUUCUUAGAAUAUAAGUUGAUUCAUUUAUUAAUUAGUAAGAAGUUUCAUUAUUUAUCAUUGAAUACAUUUAAUUUGUUAUAAUGCCAAAGAUUUUAACGUAUUAUAACUGUUUUAAUUGCUUAACUUUUGCAACAAAUAAGAACAGAGUUAGCGAAGUUGUUAGAUUGUUUGUAGUAAUAAGAGAAUGAGACUUAUAAGAUUGAAAUGUCUAAUGAAAGAUAGUGUAACAGAUUCCUUUCUAUUCAAGUGAAUUAAAGUUUUAAUUGUAAUUAUA